rnacentral:rRNA from 1 species
UACGUAGGGUGCAAGCGUUAAUCGGAAUUACUGGGCGUAAAGCGUGCGCAGGCGGUUUUGUAAGUCUGUCGUGAAAUCCCCGGGCUCAACCUGGGAAUUGCGAUGGAGACUGCAAGGCUAGAAUCUGGCAGAGGGGGGGUAGAAUUCCACGUGUAGCAGUGAAAUGCGUAGAGAUCGGAAAGAACACCAACGGCGAAAGCACUCUGCUGGGCCGACACUGACACUGAGAGACGAAAGCUAGGGGGAGCGAAUGGG